rnacentral:rRNA from 1 species
GACGAACGCUGGCGGCGUGCUUAACACAUGCAAGUCGAACGGACAGGCCCUGCUUUUGUUGGGUGCUCGAUUGGCGAACGGGUGAGUAACACGUGAGUAACCUGCCCUUGACUUUGGGAUAACUUCAGGAAACUGCGGCUAAUACCGGAUAGGAUCUCCUGCUGCAUGGUGGUGGUUGGAGAGUUUCGGCGGUUGGGGAUGGACUCGCGGCUUAUCAGCUUGUUGGUGGGGUAGUGGCUUACCAAGGCUUUGACGGCUAGCCGGCCUGAGAGGGUGACCGGCGACAUUGGGACUGAGGUACGGCCCAGACUCCUACGGGAGGCAGCAGUGGGGAACAUUGCACAAUGGGCGGAAGCCUGAUGCAGCAACGCCGCGUGCGGGAUGACGGCCUUCGGGGUGUAAACCGCUUUCGCAUGUGACGAAGCGUGAGUGACGGUAAUGGGUAAAGAAGCACCGGCUAACUACGUG